AUUGAACGCUGGCGGCAUGCCUUACACAUGCAAGUCGAACGGCAGCACGGGUGCUUGCACCUGGUGGCGAGUGGCGAACGGGUGAGUAAUAUAUCGGAACGUACCUUAUUGUGGGGGAUAACGCAGCGAAAGCUGUGCUAAUACCGCAUAAUCCCUAAGGGGGAAAGCGGGGGACCGUAAGGCCGCGCGCAAUUAGAGCGGCCGAUACCUGAUUAGCUAGUUGGUGAGGUAAAGGCUCACCAAGGCAACGAUCAGUAGCUGGUCUGAGAGGACGAUCAGCCACACUGGGACUGGGACACGGCCCAGACUCCUACGGGAGGCAGCAGUGGGGAAUUUUGGACAAUGGGGGCAACCCUGAUCCAGCAAUGCCGCGUGAGUGAAGAAGGCCUUCGGGUUGUAAAGCUCUUUUGUCAGGGAAGAAACAGCAGCUCUAACACAGUUUGCGAAUGACGGUACCUGAAGAAUAAGCACUGGCUAACUACGUGCCAGCCGCCGCUGUAA
rnacentral:rRNA from 1 species